AUGAAUAUGUAUGAAGGACUCGUUACUACUGAAUGUUUAGUUCAGCUCUACACCUCUACACCUCUACACCUCCACCAAUCUGCCCUUCCCCCUGUCUUCACCUCUACACCAAUCUGCCCUUCCCCCAGUCUACACCUCUACACCUCUACACCUCUACACCUCCACCAAUCUGUCCUUCCCUCUGUCUUCACCUCUACACCUCUACACCAAUCUGCCCUUCCCCCAGUCUACACCUCUACACCAAUCUGCCCUUCCCCCAGUCUUCACCUCUACACCUCUACACCUCUACACCAAUCUGCCCUUCCCCCAGUCUACACCUCUACAUCAAUCUGCCCUUCCCCCAGUCUACACCUCUACACCAAUCUGCCCUUCUCCCAGUCUUCACCUCUACACCAAUCUGCCCUUCCCCCAGUCUUCACCUCUAUAGGUGAGGUGAGUUUGGUACACAUCUGGUGGAUAGAGAGCCGCUUAUUAUGUUCAACAUAGGAGGGCCAAGCACAGGAAGCAGCUCUUUCAGUAGUUUAGUUGGAAUAGGGUCCAGUAUGCAGCUUGAAGGUUUAGAGGCCAUGAUUAUUUUCAUCAUUGUGUCAAGAGAUAUAGUACUAAAACACUUGAGCGUCUCUCUUGAUCCUAGGUCCUGGCAGAGUUGUGCAGACUCAGGACAACUGAGCUUUGGAGGAAUACGCAGAUUUAAAGAGGAGUCCGUAAUUUGCUUUCUAAUGAUCAUGAUCUUUUCCUCAAAGAAGUUCAUGAAUUUAUUACUGCUGAAGUGAAAGCCAUCCUCUCUUGGGGAAUUCUGCUUUUUAGUUAACUUUGCGACUGUAUCAAAAAUACAUUUCGGAUUGUUCUUAUUUUCCUCAAUUAAGUUGGAAAAUAGGAUGAUCAAGCAGCAGUGAGGACUCCUCAAUACUGCACGGUACUGUUUUUCCAAGCUAGUCGGAAGACUUCCAGUUUGGUGUGGUGCCAUUUCCGUUCCAAUUUUCUGGAAGCUUGCUUCAGAGCUCGAGGAUUUUCUGUAUACCAGGGAGCUAGUUUCUGAUGAGAAAUGUUUUUAGUUUUUAGGAGUACAACUGCAUCUAGGGUAUUGCGCAAGGUUAAAUUGAGUUCCUCAGUUAGGUGGUUAACUGAUUUUUGUCCUCUGACGUCCUUGGGUAGGCAGAGGGAGUCGGUAAAGGCAUGAAGGAAUCUUUGUGUUGUCUGUGAAUUUAUAGCGCAAUUUAUGAUGCUCCUUGGUUGGGUUCUGAGCAGAUUAUUUGUUGCGAUUGCAAAUGUAAUAAAAUGGUGGUCCGAUAGUCCAGGAUUAUGAGGAAAAACAAUAAGAUCCACAACAUGUAUUCCAUGGGACAAAACUAGGUCCAGAGUAUGACUGUGACAGUGAGUAGGUCCAGAGACAUGUUGGACAAAACCCACUGAGUCGAUGAUGGCUCCGAAAGCCUUUUGGAGUGGGUCUGUGAAUAUUAAAGUCACCAAAGAUUAGAAUAUUAUCUGCUAUGACUACAAGGUCCGAUAGGAAUUCAAGGAACUCAAUGAGGAACGCUGUAUAUAGGCCAGGAGGCCUGUAAACAGUAGCUAUAAAAAUUGAUUGAGUAGGCUGCAUAGAUUUCAUGACUAGAAGCUCAAAAGACGAAAACGUCAUUUUUUUUUGUUGUAAAUUGAAAUUUGCUAUCGGAAAUGUUAGCAACACCUCCACCUUUGCGGGAUGCGCAGGGGAUAUGGUCACUAGUGUAACCAGGACACAGUAAAUUCAUCAGGCUUAAGCUAUGUUUCAGUAAGGCCAAUCACAACAAGAUUAUGAUCAGUGAUUAGUUCAUUGACUAUAAUUGCCUUUGAUGUAAGGGAUCUAACAUUAAGUAACCCUAUUUUGAGAUGUGAGGUAUCACGAUCUAUUUCAAUAAUGACAGGAAUGGAGGAGGUCUUUAUCCUAGUGAGAUUGCUAAGGCGAACACCGCCAUGUUUAGUUUUGCCCAACCCAGGUCGAGGCACAGACACGGUCUCAAUGGGGAUAGCUGAGCUGAUUACACUGACUGUGCUAGUGGCAGACUCCACUAAGCUGGCAGGCUGGCUAACAGCCUGCUGCCUGGCCUGCACCCUAUUUCAUUGUGGAGCUAGAGGAGUUAGAGCCCUGUCUAUGUUGGUAGAUAAGAUGAGAGCACCCCUCCAGCUAGGAUGGAGUCCGUCACACACACACAGACACACAGACAGACACACACAUAAAGACACAGACACACAGACACACACACACACACACACACACACACAGACACACACACACAGAUGGACGGUGGACCUACUCCUUCUGUGUAGCAGUUCCUCCUCUCUACGCUUAAACAGACAAAUAAAUCCUUUCAUUGUUGCUGCUUAGUGCUUGUGUCGCUCAGUCAGCUUUCCUUUCCUGUCCAAAGGAAUUCAACUAUCUACAGACAUACUAAGAAAACAAGCCCCUCCGACCAAACAUCCUGGGAAAGAUAUCCAGCUCCGUUCUUAUGGUGAUUUCUCUUUCAGCGACUUAACAUUGUUUAUUUGGGAAUGUCAUGUUGUAAAUAUGACUGUCUUGGUGUUGGUAUCCUGGCUGGGUGUUGUUAUCCUGGCUGGGUGUUGUUAUCCUGGCUGGGUGUUGUUAUCCUGGUUGGGUGGUGUUAUCCUGGCUGGGUGGUGUUAUCCUGGCUGGGUGUUGUUAUCCUGGCUGGGUGUUGUUAUCCUGGUUGGGUGUUGUUAUCCUGGUUGGGUGUUGUUAUCCUGGCUGGGUGUUGUUAUCCUGGCUGGGUGGUGUUAUCCUGGCUGGGUGGUGUUAUCCUGGC
rnacentral:lncRNA from 13 species